GUGGCCAUCAGCAGCAAAUAUCACUAAAAUCAGAACACUACAGAGAAGGUUAGCAUGGUCUCUCUGCAAGAGUGAUGCACACAUUCAUGAAAAGUUUCAUACUAAA